rnacentral:rRNA from 1 species
CCCUUAGAUGUUCUGGGCCGCACGCGUGCUACACUGAGUGGAUCAGCGGGUCAGGUUGCGCGAAAGCGUUUCCUAAUCUUUAAAUCCGCUCGUGAUGGGGAUUGACGGUUGCAAUUUUCUCUCAUGAACGAGGAAUACCUUGUAAGCGCGGGUCAUCAUCCCGCGCUGAAUACGUCCCUGCCCUUUGUACACACCGCCCGUCGCUCCUACCGAUUGAGUGGUCCGGUGAGGCUUUGGGAUCUGAGCGGAAAGAGCGUUUCGCUGUUUCUGCUCGGAAAACUCAGUCGAACCUUAUCAUUUAGAGGAAGGAGAAGUCGUAACA